rnacentral:rRNA from 1 species
UACGUAGGGGGCAAGCGUUGUCCGGAUUUAUUGGGCGUAAAGAGCUCGUAGGUGGUUUGGUAAGUCGGAUGUGAAAUCUCCAGGCUCAACCUGGAGGGGUCAUUCGAUACUGCCAUGACUAGAGGUCGGUAGGGGAGUGUGGAAUUCCUGGUGGAGCGGUGAAAUGCGCAGAUAUCAGGAGGAACACCCGUAGCGAAGGCGGCACUCUGGGCCGAUACUGACACUGAGGAGCGAAAGCUAGGGUAGCAAACGGG